rnacentral:rRNA from 1 species
AUUGAACGCUGGCGGAAUGCUUUACACAUGCAAGUCGAGCGGCAGCGCGGGGCAACCUGGCGGCGAGCGGCGAACGGGUGAGUAACAUAUCGGAACGUACCCAGUCGUGGGGGAUAACUAUCCGAAAGGAUAGCUAAUACCGCAUACGACCUGAGGGUGAAAGGGGGGGAUCGCAAGACCUCUCGCGAUUGGAGCGGCCGAUAUCGGAUUAGCUAGUUGGUGAGGUAAAGGCUCACCAAGGCGACGAUCCGUAGCUGGUCUGAGAGGACGGCCCGCCACACUGGGACUGAGACACGGCCCAGACUCCUACGGGAGGCAGCAGUGGGGAAUUUUGGACAAUGGGGGGCAACCCUGAUCCAGCCAUUCCGCGUGAGUGAAGAAGGCCUUCGGUUGUAAGCUCUUCGGUCAGGAACGAAACGGACGGGCGUC